GUUGAAACACCUAUUUCCGUACGAUCACCGAAGUUAAGUAACGUAGAGCCUGGUCAGUACCUAGAUGGGUGACCGCUUGGAAAUCUGAGAUGCUGUAAGC